rnacentral:rRNA from 1 species
CUGCCCGGUGCUCGAAGGUUAAUUGAUGGGGUUAGCAUUAGCGAAGCUCUUGAUCGAAGCCCGAGUAAACGGCGGCCGUAACUAUAACGGUCCUAAGGUAGCGAAAUUCCUUGUCGGUUAAAUACCGACCUGCAUGAAUGGCGUAACGAGAUGGGAGCUGUCUCAAAGAGGGAUCCAGUGAAAUUGUAGUGGAGGUGAAAAUUCCUCCUACCCGCGGCAAGACGGAAAGACCCCGUGGACCUUUACUACAGCUUGACACUGCUACUUGGAUAAGAAUGUGCAGGAUAGGUGGGAGGCUUUGAGUAUAUGACGCCAGUUGUAUAUGAGCCAUUGUUGAGAUACCACUCUUUCUUAUUUGGGUAGCUAACCAGCUUGAGUUAUCCUCAAGUGGGACAAUGUCUGGUGGGUAGUUUGACUGGGGCGGUCGCCUCCCAAAUAAUAACGGAGGCUUACAAAGGUUGGCU